rfam:Loxodonta africana unplaced genomic scaffold scaffold_19, whole genome shotgun sequence.
GCAGUGGUGGUUCACUGGUAGAAUUCUCACCUUCCAUGUGAGAGACCCAGGUUCAAUUCCCAGACAAUGCA